CUGGCGGCAGGCCUCAUACAUGCAAGUCGAGCGGUCCUUCGGGACAGCGGCGAACGGGUUAGUAACGCGUGGGAACGUGCCCUUUAGUACGGAAUAGCCAUUGGAAACGAUGAUUAAUACCGUAUACGCCCCAAGGGGGAAAGAUUUAUCGCUAAAGGAUCGGCCCGCGUUAGAUUAGGUAGUUGGUAGGGUAAUGGCCUACCAAGCCGACGAUCUAUAGCUGGUUUGAGAGGAUGAUCAGCAACACUGGGACUGAGACACGGCCCAGACUUCUACGGAAGGCAGCAGUAGGGAAUCUUGGACAAUGGGCGAAAGCCUGAUCCAGCCAUGCCGCGUGAGUGAUGAAGGCCCUAGGGUUGUAAAGCUCUUUCGCCAGGGAAGAUAAUGACGGUACCGGUAAAGAAACCCCGGCUAA
rnacentral:rRNA from 1 species